ensembl:lncRNA
CUCUCCUUUCUCUCCUAAUUUCCAGGACAGGAGAACUUUGCGAGGAUUGUAUCCAGUCUCAUCUUAGGGAGAAUUCAAACCAGGCAAGGGUUAUAGAAGAAAACUACCUUGAUAGUCAAAGAGUCAGAAGGGCCAAGGGUCAACACGUUCCUGGAAUAUAGACUGUCAAGUGGUGUCCACACUUGGACCUGGAGGGAAGAAGAGGAGCCCAAAGAGAACCUUCAGGCCAGCCACAGCCUUAGCCUUUAGAGAAGGGUCGUCCUCCUCUCACAGAGUGGACCUCCAGGAAAUGCUUUGCCUUUACCUAUGCUGCACAACGCUGGGGCUCUGCAGGGAUCACAACCAACUCUCCAGUCCAGGCCACCUGUCAGGUCCAAGUUCACCACAAUCAGCUUCCAAUUUGGGUCAAGUAGAACCUGACUUAGAGGAAGAAUUUGAAAAGGAUCUCAAAGCGUGUUCAUAAAGCCAGUAAAGAAGUUUCCGGCUCCUCCUUAACCCCUCUCUGAAUCUCAACCUCAGGAUCCAGGUGGUUGGGCCCUAGAGCCCUGGAGACUCCUACUGGCUUCUUUCCUCCCAAAGCUGCUGCCCCUCCACCCCAUGGAACUGCUCCCCUCCUGAAAUUGGGUGUGUGAGCUGCAGAAGCCUCAGCUCUUCCCUCUGUCAUUGUGCC